rnacentral:rRNA from 1 species
UACGGGGGGGGGCAAGCGUUGUUCGGAAUUACUGGGCGUAAAGGGCUCGUAGGUGGCCAACUAAGUCAGACGUGAAAUCCCUCGGCUUAACCGGGGAACUGCGUCUGAUACUGGAUGGCUUGAGAUUGGGAGAGGGAUGCGGAAUUCCGCGUGUAGCAGUGAAAUGCGUAGAGAUGCGGAGGAACACCGAUGGCGAAGGCAGCCCCCUGGGCUGACACUGACGCUCAGGCACGAAAGCGUGGGGAGCAAACAGG